UGGGGUCUUAACAAGCUUAUGUGGCAAAAAAAACAAUUUUUUAUUCAUUACAUAAACAAAUCUGUUUAUAGCAUGGGCAAAAUCGUCAAACCAAACUUAAAAUCCCUAAUUAAAAUAAAACAAACAUAUAUCAAAUUCGUCGAUCCCCCAAUUCGAACGACCAAAAUAAGAAAAGGACCAAAAUUUGCAGGCCCAAAGCUUAAGCUUGUAGAGAGGGAAGAAAAGAGAGAAAAUGGUGAUGAUGUCUGCAAUAGAGAGAUUCGUAUACCCCCCAUGCCCACCCCCAAUCUUUUUUGAUUCUUACGGUAAUUACUCUGGAUUGAUUUGUUUUAGUGCUAUGCACAGCUGGGUUCAAGGAAAUAAGAAGAACCAGAAGAGGAGAGGCGGAGACCCACCAUGACUCCCUAGGUUUUUCACUCUCCCUUCUCUCUACUUUUUUCAUAGAUGAUUUCACCCUCAUUUUCACCUUUCUUCCUUUCCCUUCUCCGAAUCUGCAGCCGAAUGUAGCCGAAUGAAAUUUUGCCUGAAGAUUCCAUUCUAGUUUCGUCAGACCUAACCGAAAUAUUACCAGCCAAAUCAAUGUCAACCAAUAUAUCAGAUUCAACCAUGUCAACCACUAUAUUAGCAGCCAAAUGUAGGUUUCGCUCCGAUGGGAACAAUUGAUAAUGAUUUGAUGACUAUGAUUGCAAAAAUGAGGUGAGGGCAACUAGGGAUUUUUUUUGAACAACCGAAUUUACGAAAAUGGGGAUUUCUCUCUCUACUAGUUCUGCCGGAAUGGUUGAUUAUCAGGUUUUUUCGUUCGAAUUGGGGAGAGCCGGUGAUAGACGAAUUUGAUUUUCUUUCUAUUGAUAUAUGUUUGUUUUAUUUUAAUUAGGGAUUUUAAGUUUGGUUUGACGAUUUUGCCCAUGAUAUAAACAGAUUUAUUUAUGUAAUGAAUAAAAAAUUAUUUUUUUGUCA
rnacentral:lncRNA from 1 species